AGUUGGAGGGAAGAAAGGAUUUAGGGCCUAGCAGGUGGGUUUGGAGGAGAGAAUGGGAGAGGCUGAAGGUAGAGAAGUGAUAGAAUUUGGCUCACCUGGAAGGGCAACGGGCUAGAAGGGCUUCUGAAACGCUUGCUGAUUGCAAGUUCAGGGUAGCAGGCAACCUCUGUGAAUGUCAGGACAAAGUGGAAAAGACAUUCUGAGACUCACUCAAGAAGAGUUUCAUUUCUUCUGUGGUGGUGCUGCCACAUGUGGUAACUGCCUUGUGGAGGGGGGAUGAAAACAAGCCAGGAUUGAGUGGGUGCUGUGGCGGUAGGCUGGAAGGACACCUAUCCCACCAUAGAGGAAGGAGUGGAGGCCUCUGGGAGGUGGUGAUGAGGGAGCUCCAUCUUGAAGGAAUAGAAGAAUCUAAACAGGUUGGAUCUCCUCACCGGAGUGCUUCCUUUACAGCAGGCUCCCAUCAUCUUUUCCUUCCAGGUGCUCUCCUUGCUUUGCUCAGAUCCACUCUCCACCCCUCUCCACUUUGCUCUCUGCCCUGGAAGAUUGAAGUGAAUGGAUAUCAACAGGGCUCCUAGCUCUUUGGCUUUUGGCUGGCUUUGGCCCAUGAAGAGCUGUGGCAAGAGAUCGGAGUCAGGGCAGAGAAUCCUUACAUGGCGUCCAAUGAUACCCCUCCACCUUUCCCCUGUUCUUCCAGCCUUGAAGGACUCUGUCCCCUCAACCUCACUAUGCACUGGGUUUUGGAAUGUAGUCCUACUCAGAAUCCACAUCCAAGCCACAGCUGAUAUAUUUCUGAGGUCCUCAUCCCGAACCCUACAUCUCUGUAGUGGAAAGCUUCCCUACUGACUCAGACAAUGCCUGUUGCUGAAGAUCUACAGUUGGAGAAAGGACUAUUACUUUCGCCUGAAAGCUUUCUGAUGGAGGACACGUCAUCAGGAAAGAAGCAGCAGCCUUCACCUGCAGCGAAGUGGGGCUACACCACGGAUUUUUAAUUCAGCACUUUCGUACCGCAGCACAUUCAAGUGUAGAAACUGGUACUCUGACAAUGUGUGCCUUUCAAUGGAGGAUGCUUGAAGUGCCUUUCAAGGAUGCUGCUUUGUUUUUCUGGCUCUACAUGCAACCCAUACAAUUGAUGGAAUUUUCUAUUAAACAUGAAAGGGCUUAAGGAAAUUUGUCUAAUAGCAGAAUAACCCACGGUAAAGGCAUCAUCAAUUUUGAAAAGAAUAAAAAGAGAGAGAAAUUAAAGGAGCAGCUUGUUAAGCUAAAAAAAAAUUCUCUUGAAGAGUGAAGAUGGAAGAUUGGGAGUCACAAGAAGAGAAAAGAUUUUGUGGACACUUGGGUUCCACAAAAAACAAUUUAUAAAGCCAAGAUGUUUCAUUUCCUUUAAAUUAGUUACGACUUCAAAGGUAUAUGAAGGAAAAAAUGUAUUUGCAACAACUAGAGGAGUGACCCAGGAAACCCGGACACGCAACCAUCAUGUAUCAUUUCUGUGAUGGUAAGGAUUCAGAUCAGAAUGUGGUUUUCCAGGCCGAGUGCCUGUCGGGUUCACUGCUCCCUUCUGAGAAGUCUCCGAAUGCCUGCCAGGCUCACAACUCUUUCUUCAAAAUAUGUCCAGGAUACAGCUACUUCUCGCUACCUCCACUGCCACCACCCAGCUGGUAACCUGCCCAUGGAUCGCAGCCUGGCUCGGCAUGAGCCUGACAACACAUCAGCACCAGUUGCUAGCGUCCCUUUUCUGACAGAAGCUUCAUUCUUCACCAUGGAGAAAACCCAACCGAUAAUGACAGCCACCAACGGUCCAUACACAAUAAACAAACCCCACACAUAGGUUUGAUCUUUCAAAAAAAGUUGCAAGACUGCAG
ensembl:lncRNA